UKCUYUUUGGUUUAGAUAAAGAGUCAUACCUGCCCAGUGGAAAAACUAAACGGCCGCGGAAUUUUAACCGUGCUAAGGUAGCAUAAUCAUUUGUCUUUUAAUUGAAGACCUGUAUGAAUGGUUUUACAAAAUUUAGCUGUCUCUUUUAUAAUAAAUAAAAAUUAUUUUUAAAGUUAAAAACCUUUAAUUAUAUAAAAAGACAAAAAGACCCCAUAGAGUUUUAUUCUUUAGUAUAUACUAUAUAAAAGAAUUUAGUUGGGGUAACUAAAGAAAAGUAAAUUUUCUUUUAAGUAAAAUAUUAUUAUAUCAUUUAUUAAAUAAAACAAAAUAAAUUACCUUGGGGGUAACAGCGUAAGUUUUUUUGAGAGUUCAAAUCGAAAAAAAAAAUUACGACCUCGAUGUUGGAUUAGAGUAACUUAAAAUAGUAAAAAAUUUUAAAGGUAGCCKGUUCGACUAAWAAUUCUCUACWU
rnacentral:rRNA from 1 species